UCAAAAACAUGUCUGUUUGAAGAUAUAAACAGUCUGGCCUGCUCACUGAUAAAAUUAUUUAAGAGCCGCGGUAUAUUGACCGUGCAAAGGUAGCAUAAUCAUUAGGGGUUUAAUUGGAACCUGGUAUGAAGGGUCGGACAAAGGAAAAGCUGUCUUUAUAGUAAAAGUUGAAAUUUACUUUUAAGUGAAAAGGCUUAAAUAAAUCAAAGGGACGAUAAGACCCUAUAAAGCUUUAUAGAUUAUUUAAAUUCGGUUAAUUUAAAAAUAAAAAUUAAAUUUAAUUAUUCUAUUUUGUUGGGGUGAUGUGAGUAUAAUUGCUAUUAACUGCUUAGAAGGAACACUCUUAUAAGAGAAUUAAAAUAUGAUCCUUUUUAGAGAUUGAAAGACUAAGUUACUUUAGGGAUAACAGCGUUAUUUCUUUUGAGAGUUCAUAUCGAAAAAGAAGAUUGCGACCUCGAUGUUGAAUUAAAAUAUCUAUAUAAUGCAGCCGUUAUAAAAGAAGGUCUGUUCGACCUUUAAAUUUUUACGUGAUCUGAGUUCAGACCGGA
rnacentral:rRNA from 1 species